CAGACUUCACCACAAUACAAUAAACCAUGUAACCAAAAACCCUUUAGCCCUAAAGCUAUUGAUUUUUUUUAAAAAAACUAUAGCCUUAAUGGUGAUAUUGCAAAGAAUAAAAGAUUAAAUGCCAGUAGUCCAAAUACCCACAGGUUGAAAACAGAACAUGCUUAAAAAUGGUACAUUUAAAGAAGCUGAAAACCAAACAAUUGCUAGUGAGAAAGUGAAGAAGAAAUAAAAAAGAUAUAAGAACUUGAGGAGAAGUAAUUAAGAUAAUUU
rnacentral:lncRNA from 1 species